rnacentral:rRNA from 1 species
UACGUAGGGUGCGAGCGUUUGUCCGGAAUUACUGGGCGUAAAGAGCUCGUAGGUGGUUUGUCGCGUUGUCCGUGAAAACUCACAACUCAAUUGUGGGCGUGCGGGCGAUACGGGGCAGACUGGAGUACUGCAGGGGAGACUGGAAUUCCUGGUGUAGCGGUGGAAUGCGCAGAUAUCAGGAGGAACACCGAUGGCGAAGGCAGGUCUCUGGGCAUUAACUGACGCUGAGGAGCGAAAGCAUGGGGAGCGAACAGG